GUCUCAGGCCCUAUCAGCCUGAAGGCGCCCGAUCUCGUCUGAUCUCGGAAGAAGAGACCCUGGAGAGUUCUCCUCCACCCUGCCCCGUGAGGGCACAGGAGGAAGGCGGCCGUCUGCAAGC
rnacentral:rRNA from 1 species